rnacentral:rRNA from 1 species
UACGUAGGGAGCAAGCGUUGUCCGGAAUCAUUGGGCGUAAAGCGUGUGCAGGUGGUUUGUUAAGUCUGCUGUGAAAGCCCCGGGCUCAACCCGGGAACUGCGUCCGAUACUGGCAGGCUUGAAUCCGGGAGAGGGAUGCGGAAUUCCAGGUGGUAGCGGAUGAAAUGCGUUAGAUAUCUGGAGGAAUACCGGUGGCGAAGGCGGCAUCCUGGACCGGCAUUGACGCUGAGGAGCGAAAGCUAGGGGAGCAAACAGG